GGGGUUGUGGCUCAGAGGUAGAGUGCUCACCUAGCAUGUGUAGAGCACUGGGUUCGAUCCUCAGUACCACA
rnacentral:tRNA from 1 species